rnacentral:hammerhead_ribozyme from 1 species
AUCGAACUGAUGAGUCCUAAAUAGGACGAAAAGAGGGUCUUGGAU